GUCCCUAGAUUUGCCACUACUUGCCAGCUAUUUCCACUGAAAAGGGUGGCAUUUAGUGUAAAAAAGGUGGCAUUAACUGGAAAAUGACAAAAUUCCACUCUUUUUCCACUGUAGUGGCAAAUUUACCACCAAAUGCCACUAUCCUUUGGUGGCAUUUAGGUGGUAAUUGAGUGGAAACUUGAACAUAGACUUUUGUCAUGGUGGCAAAAGGGUGGAAAUUGGUGGAAAAUGAAACUUAGUUUAUUUUGAAGGUGGAAAAUGAGUGGCUUUUAGUGGAAAAGUGAAACUCUAACUAUUUUCUGGGUGGCAAAUUAGUGUAAAAAAACUUAGAAAAUUUUGCGAGUAACUUUUAGUCAAAAAGCAGAAGAGCAGGAAAAAUUAGAAAAGUAUUGGGGUAAUUUUCCAUAUUUUAAGGCAGUACUUUUCUUUAUAGAUGUAAAAUUUGACUUAGAGUCAAAAAUGCCUAUGUUCCAUUCUACCCUUGUAAAAUAAAUUUACGGCUGUAAAAGUGUACUUAGAUUUUUUAGUUGCAAUCUGUACAUUAAAAAGUUGUCAUGUUAUUCUUUGCCCAGAAAAUGCAUUUUUUCUGCUUCUCCUAUGAUAUUUAAUGUCAAUCUUGAAUAAAGUUAGACUUUGAUCUUUUCCUCUAAUUGAGAUUUAAUUGUCUCUUUAAUAUUAGUUUAAACUGAUAUCUGGUGAGUACUGACACUUUUCAUGAUAUGCUAACAAUGAUUUAAGUGAGAAAUGCAAAGGGCAAUAACUCCAAAAUUAUGCAAAAGAGUUAUGGUUCUUAAACACUGUACAUUACUCAAAAAGAUCUAUAUCUAUGAAGUUUCAAAUUAAUAUCUCCAAUACUUUUUAAGCAUAAUAAUCAAGACAAAAAUUAAGCAUGGAGAAGUAACAAAAUGGCAAUAAACCCAGGAUCAUGCAAAAAAGAGUCAUGGUUCCUAGGCAUUGCACUUCUCAUAAAUGAGAUCUACUUAAAUGUGGAGUUUAAAAUUAUUGUCUCUAAAACUUUUUGUGCUAUGCUUUGCAGACGAAAACUUACAAAGGGCAAUAACUUCAUAACAUUGCAGGAGAAAGUUAUUUUUAAGAAGAAAAAAACAUGAAUCAAACUUGUUAACAAUAAUAUUUAAAUGCUAUUUAAUAAGUAUACAUAUAUAAUAGCUCAGCCUUCAAGAUAAUGAUACAUUAAGCAUACAUUUAAUACCUCACUCUACCAAGUCUGUGUAUGAAAAUAAGUCAUACACAAUUUAGUAUGUCUUUCAGAGGCUUUAAAUCUAUUGUAAAAAUAAUUGUGUGAAAAAUAAAUUGCUCAUAAUGCCUGAUAAUUUCUUAUAAUCAGGUUAAGUAAAGUAAAUACUAGCUAGGAAAUACUGCAUCCACUAAGAUUUAACAACACACACAUACAUUACAGAUCUGAUAAAACUACUGCCCUCUUAUCUUAUAAUCUAUGCAUUGGGGUUAAUAGUUUACUCAUGCUGACCAGACUGUUCCAUUUGAUUAUUUUGGGAAAGGCAACAUUAUACAUGUUAUAUGUAGAAUCUGUGUUAAAAUAGCAUGCUAAAUUAUCUUUCAAAAAUUUAUUUCUACUCAAUCUAUGUAGGUAUAAGACAUAGUUUAUACAUUCAAAUGAAUGUAAAAAAUAAAAUGAUGGGUGCUAUGGUUUUUGGAUAAUACCUCACAGUUUAAAAUUAUAAUGGAACUGUCCAUGGCAGUUAUACAGUUGUAAAGUUUGAAUUCAAAGGAAUUCAGGUCAGUUAGCAUGCAAACACAAAGGAAAUGAUUGAUAUUGUAGCAAUUAUGGAGAUAUCUUUUUUAAAUGUAAGGGUGCAUAUAUUUGACUUCUCAAAGAAAACAUUAAAAGUCUUAAUAGUGUAGUAAUUAGAAAUGAGAAGUUUUAACUGAGGCGUGAAUGUGUAGAUUAAAACAUGGGACAAGAAUAUAAACAGCAGAAUCAUUCCAAGUCAAAGUCUCAGGUAAACAACUUUUACAUACAUUUAUGCAGAAACAGUUAAGCUUUUUAACAAAAAAAUAUGAAGUGUUAUUGUAUAAAAUUAGGUUUUAAAUUUGUUUUUUUUUCAACUUGACUAUUUCAAACAGAAAGCUGCAUGUAUAUAUAAAGAAUGUUACGUGGGAAGAUCUUGACUUUAUCAUGAUUUCUUAAAUAAAGAAUGUUAGAAAUUUUAAGUUUGAGAAAAAAAAUGAUAGAAAUUAAUCAGUAAGUACAAUAUCAUUAUGUAUAAUAUUACAUAAAUCAAACUAUAGAUAACCAGGUACUUAUAUUACUACAACUUUCAUGCUAUAAACAUUUUUCAUGUGUGUCACAUGUAGAGCAGAUCAACAUUAACUGUUUAAUUAGUAAGUUUCAUUCCUUCAGUAUUGUAAUUCAGCUUUCAUGGUGCAGAAGAUAUAUAACCAUAACUAGACAGUCUAAAGUAACAAGCUGUUUAGGAGAAUAGCAGCUCAUGAAACACAAUUAUUCUUUUGCAGUGACAAAGCAAUGAGGAGCUGCCUGGAGCAAUGCACAUGUUCUUCAGUGACUUUACAAAGGACCCAGUGAUGGCAGAACUGAGGCACUAUGCCUCACCUGAGAAGGGUACAACAAGGUUCUUCAGAAUUCUUUUCAAUAUAGAAGAGAUUAAAGGCCGCUCAUAGUUUGGUAUGAGGAAAAGGAAGAGAGAAUCUGACGCUAGGCCUGCUCGUGCAGACAAAGCAAAACUUAAGUUCUUGGAAGAUUGUGUGCUGGAAAAGUGGCCAACAACCCCAGGAAUUGAAAUCUGGAGGGUGAUUCGGCACCUCCUCAAACCAUCCAGGAAUAGC